rnacentral:rRNA from 1 species
UGAUAGGUUUAUGGCGGAUGCCUGUAGGAGCUGUGAGGCGAAGAAGGUCGUGACAAGCUGCGAAAAGCCCGGGGGAGGAGCACAUAUCCCGUGAUCCCGGGAUAACCGAAUGGGGUAACCCAACAGGAGUGAUCCUGUUACUGCGAUAGUCGAAUAAAAUAGGCUGCCAGGGCGACACUGUGUGAAGUGAACCAUCUAAGUAACACGGGAAAAGAAAUCAAGAAGGGGCGCGAGCUCCCAGAGAUUCCGAAAGUAGCGGCGAGCGAAAUCGGAAAAGCCCAAACCGCAUUUAUGCGGGGUUGUAGGGCCGCAUGGGGGUGUCCCGAAGAGUUUUGAGAAAACACACGCAUAGCAGAAGGAUGUGGAAAAAUCCGCCAGAGCAGGUGAAAGCCCUGUACGCGAAAUGGGUGUGUCUCUUUGAUGCGGUACCUGAGUACGGCGGGGCACGGGAAACCCUGUCGGAAUCUGGGUCGACCACGAUCCAAGGCUAAAUACUCCACAGCUACCGAUAGCGAACUAGUACCGUGAGGGAAAGGUGAAAAGAACCCCUGAAGGGGAGUGAAAUAGAACCUGAAACCAUAAACCGACAAAAUGUCACGGGUCUAUAUGACUUGUGGCGUGCCUUUUGUAGAAUGAGCCUGCGAGUUACGCUGUGUUGCGAGGUUAAGGGAUGGUAGUCCCGGAGCCGUAGGGAAACCGAGUCUGAUAAGGGCGAGCAGUAGCAUGGCGUAGACCCGAAGCCAAGGUGAUCUAGUCAUGAGCAGGUUGAAGCAUAGGUAAAGCUAUGUGGAGGACCGAACUAUAAUCUGUUAAAAAAGGUAUGGAUGACUUGUGACUCGGAGUGAAAGGCUAAACAAACCUGGAAAUAGCUGGCUCUCCCCGAAAUGCCUUUAGGGACAGCCUUAUACAAAACUUGCGGAGGUAAAGCACUGGAUGGACUAGGGGGUGUCACUGCCUGCCAAACCCAAUCAAACUCUGAAUGCCACAGGUCAACGUAUAGGAGUGAGACUGCGUGCGAUAAGGUUCGUGGUCAAGAGGGGAACAGCCCAGACCAACAACUAAGGUCCCGAAAUGCCGCUCAGUGUGAAAUGAAGUGUAGAUGCAAAGACAGCCAGGAGGUUGGCUUAGAAGCAGCCAUUCUUAAAAGAGUGCGUAAUAGCUCACUGGUCGAGCAUUUAUGCGCAGACAAUGUAACGGGGCUAAGCGGCAUACCGAAGUUUUGGGUCAGCUGCUUUAUGCGGCUGGCGGUAGGGGAGCAUUCCAUUAACCAGCGAAGGAAUAUCCGCGAGGAGUUCUGAAGGAAAUGGAAGAGAGAAUGCAGGUAUAAGUAACGAAAAGACGGGCGAGAUCCCCGUCCGCCUGAAACCUAAGGUUUCCUGGGUAAAGGCAAUCUGCCCAGGGUAAGUCGGCCCCUAAGGCGAGGGCGAAAGCCGUAGUCGAUGGGAAACUGGUUAAUAUUCCAGUACCUCUGUCAGUUUCGAGGGCAAGACGCAUGAGGUGAAACCCGGCCGGACAACGGUUGUUCCGGUCGAAACAGCGAACUUUUGAGGGAGACAGGCAAAUCCAUCUCCUGAGGCGAGCUGCGACAGCGAGCGGAGAGAAAGUCGAAGCGAAGCGGGCGUAAUCAAGGUGCCGGGAAAUACUGUCUAAGGCUAGGCUGGCAGGGACCGUACCGGAAACCGACACAGGUAGGUAGGAUGAGAAAUCUAAGGCGCACGAGAGAACUCGCGUUAAGGAACUCGGCAAAAUGCACACGUAACUUCGGAAGAAGUGUGGCCCCUGGUUGAAUGUCAGGGGUGGCACAGAGCAGGCCCAGGCGACUGUUUAUCAAAAACACAGCCAUCUGCAUAAUCAGCAAUGAGACGUAUAGGUGGUGACACCUGCCCGGUGCCGGAAGGUUAAGAGGAGCGGUUAGCGGAGACGCGAGGCUGUGAAUUGAAGCCCCGGUAAACGGCGGCCGUAACUAUAACGGUCCUAAGGUAGCGAAAUUCCUUGUCGGGUAAGUUCCGACCCGCACGAAUGGUGUAACGAUUCUGGGCGCUGUCUCAACGCGAGACUCGGUGAAAUUUAUAUACCGGUAAAGAAGCCGGUUACCCGCAGUUAGACGGAAAGACCCCGUGAACCUUCACCGUAACUUACUAUUGGGAUUUUAUUUAUCAUGUGUAGGAUAGGCGGGAGGCUUUGAAGCGCGAGCGUCAGCUUGCGUGGAGCCAUCGGUGAAAUACCGCUCUUGAUGAAUGGGAUUUCUAACUCGUGCCGUGAAACCGGCACGUGGACAAUGGUAGGCAGGCGGUUUGACUGGGGCGGUCGCCUCCUAAAAUGUAACGGAGGUGCGCGAAGGUCUCCUCACGCCGGUUGGAAAUCGGCGCGCGAGUGUAAAGGCACAAGGGGGCUUGACUGCGAGACUGACAGGUCGAGCAGGUACGAAAGUAGGUCUUAGUGAUCUGGCGGUAGCGAGUGGAAGCGCCGUCACUUAACGGAUAAAAGGUACUCCGGGGAUAACAGGCUGAUCUUCCCCAAGAGUUCAUAUCGACGGGAAGGUUUGGCACCUCGAUGUCGGCUCAUCGCAUCCUGGGGCUGAAGCAGGUCCCAAGGGUUUGGCUGUUCGCCAAUUAAAGCGGUACGUGAGCUGGGUUCAGAACGUCGCGAGACAGUUCGGUCCCUAUCUGCUGUGGGCGUUGGAUGAUUGAGGGGGGCUGCUUUUAGUACGAGAGGACCGAAGUGGACUGACCUCUGGUGUACCGGUUAUCCUGCCAAGGGUAAGUGCCGGGUAGCUACGUCAGGAAGGGAUAACCGCUGAAAGCAUCUAAGCGGGAAGCCCGCCCCAAGAUGAGUCAUCCCUGAGGGUUUAACCCUCCUGAAGAAUCCGGACAGACUAUCCGGUCGAUAGGCUGCAGGUAUAAGUGCGGUAACGCAUUCAGCCGAGCAGUACUAAUAAGUCGUGAGGCUUGACC